rnacentral:rRNA from 1 species
GACGAACGCUGGCGGCGUGCUUAACACAUGCAAGUCGAACGGAAAGGCCCCUUUGGGGGUACUCGAGUGGCGAACGGGUGAGUAACACGUGAGUAACCUGCCCUUGACUUCGGGAUAACUUCAGGAAACUGGGGCUAAUACCGGAUAGGAAUCCUUGCUGCAUGGUGGGGGUUGGAAAGCUUCGGCGGUUUUGGAUGGACUCGCGGCUUAUCAGCUUGUUGGUGGGGUAGUGGCUUACCAAGGCUUUGACGGGUAGCCGGCCUGAGAGGGCGACCGGCCACAUUGGGACUGAGAUACGGCCCAGACUCCUACGGGAGGCAGCAGUGGGGAAUAUUGCACAAUGGGCGGAAGCCUGAUGCAGCAACGCCGCGUGCGGGAUGACGGCCUUCGGGUUGUAAACCGCUUUCAGCAGGGGCGAAGCUUGUGGUGACGGUACCUGCAGAAGAAGCACCGGCUAACUACGAG